UACGGAGGGUGCAAGCGUUGCUCGGAAUUAUUGGGCGUAAAGGGCGCGUAGGCGGCCAUCUAAGUCAGACGUGAAAUCCCCCGGCUUAACCUGGGAACUGCGUCUGAUACUGGAAGGCUCGAGUUUGGGAGAGGGAUGUGGAAUUCCAGGUGUAGCGGUGAAAUGCGUAGAUAUCUGGAGGAACACCGGUGGCGAAGGCGGCAUCCUGGACCAACACUGACGCUGAGGCGCGAAAGCUAGGGGAGCAAACGGG
rnacentral:rRNA from 1 species